rnacentral:rRNA from 1 species
GACGAGCCGUGCGAACGUUAUUCGGAAUCACUGGGCUUAAAGCGCGUGUAGGCGGGACGGCACGUCGGUCGCUGAAAUCCCCCGGCUUAACCGGGGAACGGGCGUCGAUACGACCGUCCUGGAGGGGCGUAGGGGGACCUGGAACUUCCGGUGGAGCGGUGAAAUGCGUUGAGAUCGGAAGGAACGCCCGUGGCGAAAGCGAGGUCCUGGACGCCUACUGACGCUGAGACGCGAAAGCCAGGGGAGCGAACGGG